rnacentral:sRNA from 1 species
GCUGGGUGAUGUGGCUUCCACCUGUAAUCCCAGCGGCUUAGGAAGCUGAGGCAGGAUAAUCACGAGUUCAAAGCCAGCCUCAG